rnacentral:rRNA from 1 species
AUCUACAACCAUGCUAUCCUGAACAAUCCGAUCUGAUGCCAUCUGAUCCCGUUUGAUCUUGGAAGUUAAGCAAGGUUGGGCCUGGUUAGUACUUAGAUGGGAGACCACCUAGGAAGACCAGGUGCUGUAGGCA